AGGCAAUCCUGCUGUCAUAGAGGUCCUACACCCGCCCCCCCGCCUCCACCUCCCACCACCGCUGCCGGAGAAGAGGAGGGAUGGGCCCAAGCCACAGCCUCUGAGUUGAACCAGUGCACUCUCUCCCGGUGGUUCUCCCGGAGGUAGAAGGCGUGGGAGAGAGCUGUGCUUCAGCAGGACGUGGUGGGUACUCGCGUCCCUGCCAUUGCUUACCAGCAGCUGCCUCCACCACGGCGGCUCCUUCAGGGUGACGAGGCGACCGGACAAGCGGCCUUCAUCUUUGUCACCCCAGAAGACCGAUCGCGCCAGGCCACCCAGCGAGGAAGGAACGCCCACGCGCCCAUCCUGCCACCCUCCGUCCCAGCCCAGCCCUGGCCUGCCACCACCGUGCCCGCUGCUACAAUACCGCCGUUAGCCCCACGGAUGACAGUGUGAGGAGAAGUACAUCUGCCUAAAGUGCGGACAGCUGAAACAGCGGCAAUUUUGCCAUAGCCGUUUGGGCAACAUCGCGUUCUGCUCCACUGCUGCCGGCAAAUCGGUGCAGGAGUGGUUGGCAGAGAUGAAGGACACUCAUGGACGCUGAUCCACUGGCUGGGUGGAGGACGCUUUUAUUGUAUAUAGUUCUGUGAUCUGCCCUCUACUUGGACCGGUACCUUGGCGAGGUGUAGAGGCUUGCGUGUGCUGAAGACCCUCAGAGCUACAUUGCCUGCAGUCCUUGGACUGAGGUGAAGCACCAGACAAAAGCCGGUCCUGCAAUGGGAACAUUGAAAUGUCAAAAGUGUGCCCUUGGCUGCAUUUGUAACGGACACUUUUUUAUAUGGACACAGUAAAGCUCCCAGUGGUGUGCAUCAUUGUUUCCCAUUUUGUAUAGUGCUGUUACUUUAUGUCUAAAGUUCAGCAUAAUUAAGUACGUUUUUAAAACACAAUUGUAUUACAGUGAAGCAGCUUGUGCAUCAAUGUUUGGAUCAUUGCGUAUUGCAAUCAUUGUUUUAUCCAACAAAAUAAACUAGUAAUUGGAAAGGAAAUGCUUGUGAAAGGAAAUGCUUGUCUUGUUUCUGAAUUUAACAAUACUUGAUGUGAGUCUUUCAAAGUAGUCUUUGAAAGUGAGAAUGAUUUUCUUCCUUCUCAUGCAUACAAGUCAAAGCUUCAAAGCUUUUAAUGUCCUUCCUUCUCCUGCAUCACUGACUGUCUAGACAGGCAGGCAGGCUGGGAGGCAGGCAAGCAGUCAGUCACUGUCCAAAGCCAAUUAUCCCUGCCAAAUGUGUUUUGGAUUGUGUACUGCAAUCGCUGUUUUAUCUAACAAAAGUAACUAAAAAAAGUCAUCAAUAGAGUCAGUGAAAAGCAAACUCUUUGUCUUUUUUAACUUUGUCUUUUUAUUUCAGUUAAUACAUUGCAUUGAUGUUCACAAUUACUACAUCUCUGUAUAAUUCAUUUCUGCUGCUGAAAUCUGUGUUGUAUAAGAAUAAAACAUACACAGAAAGCCAA